rnacentral:sRNA from 2 species
UUCGCGCUUUUGGUUUUUGGUUUUGUUUUUAAUUUGAGGGGGGAACGUGAAAAUUAUUUAUAUCACCCCUUCCUCAUGCACUCUAACUCGGCUUCUUGUCAGUUUCGAUCCUUCUGACAGGCACGGACUAUGCUCAAAACUUGCAGCAUAUGUAACAUUGGAAAGGAAUUGCAUCUUGUUCUUCUCCAUUCCAACGCUCCCCUGCUAUCUCCCUCGCCACGGCAUAAUUUCACCUUUCGUCCUCUCCCAUCUCUGGCCAGUUGUCGGUAGUACAACAAUAUGGGCCUUCUAGAAAACACUGGGCAACCUGUAGCCAGAGGUGCGGAUCUCGAAAAGUUCCCAUCCGGCGAACUGCGCAAACGGCCCUACACCGACUUCCUCCAGCCUGUGUCCCCUGUCGCAAACGAUGACUCUUCCGUCGAUGAGGGCCAGUCCAUGAAGCCCUCCAAGGACCAAACCCACCGCAAACUAAAGCCGCGGCAUAUCCAGCUGAUUGGAAUUGGAGGCACAAUUGGAACGGCACUGUAUGUACAGAUUGGAAAGGGGUUGAUGAAUGGUGGUCCAGGAAGUUUGUUCCUUUCCUUCACGUUGUGGUAAGCCUACCCAUUUUCUCCUGCUCUUUAAUCAUAGGUCCCCUUUAAAAUGCCGCCUCCACUCUUCUUUUCUUUUUUAUUGUUGGUGUAUCGGAUACCUUCUCAGAAAAGGCAAGGGAAACAAACCAGGAGAGAGGAGCAUUGGAGUAAAAGGUAGGUUUCUUCGUUGGCGUGGGAGGUUUAGUAUUGAAAUCCAGGACGAGAGACGGGAAAUCAGGGUAUAUAAAAUGACACCCAGGUGGCGAGAAAGCUUGCCUCCAAUAUAUCUCUGCAGCGAAAAGGGAAUCAUAGGUCGUCUUAGGGGGGAAAGAAAUCAAACGAAAAGACACACGAAAUUUCUCGUGCAUUUAUUAUGUUCUCCGUUAUUAACGAUAUCUCAUAAAUAUGAGUCUCAUGGCCAUUUCUACAAUAGGUCUUCCUUCAUCCUAGCGGUCACCAUCUGUAAGAUCUUCCCGGAAGCUUUUGAUGCCCUUCAACCUAUGCGUUCUACCUACGUGAUGUUCCCAUUCCCUCCUGGCACGGAAAUAAAGGCUUUUGUACUGUACCUGCCUAGAGCACUUUCUAUUAUGCCAUACAUGCCUGAAAAGUGGAUGCCCCAAUGCGACAUUUUAUGACUGCCAACAUCCUCACGAGGAUCACAGUUGAUAUGGUUCGGAUCGCUAUUCGUCGCCUUCCUCCAUGCUAAUUUUCAUUUUUUGGUCUCUUAUUCAUUUCAUAUAUUUAUAAUAUACGUAUUUUCGCAAGAGUUUAGCUAAAGUUUAGGGAACCAUUUUCACUGCUCCCGCUGGUUGACAAUUAAAGCCAUGGCAGAGAUGGUCACUUAUCUUCCUAUAUCUUCGCCGUUUAUUCGGUUCGCUGGUCGCUAUGUCGAUGAAGCUUUCGGUGUGGCUACUGGGUACAACUUCUUUGUAUUCGAGGCAGCAAUGGUUCCUUUUGAGAUCGUGGCAUGCAAUGUCAUUAUCCAUUACUGGAGCGAUAUCGUCCCCGCCGCUGGUAUAAUUACCAUUGUGCUAGUGUUAUACGGUGCCAUCAAUUUUUUCGCUGUAAAGUGGUAUGGCGAGUCUGAAUUCUGGUUAGCGUUGGGUAAAGCACUUCUCAUCAUCGGCCUCAUCAUCUUUACUUUCGUCACCAUGCUUGGGGGGAAUCCACUUGGUGAUCGAUAUGGAUUCCGACACUGGCGCGAGCCUGGUGCUUUUGCUGAGUUCUAUAAAACCGGUGACCUCGGCCGGUUCUUGGGCUUCCUGCAAUGUAUGAUUCUGGCCUCGUUCACAAUUGCCGGGCCAGAUUAUGUAUCAAUGGCUGCUGGAGAAACAGAAAAUCCACGUUAUGUCUUGCCUCGCGCUUUCAACGCCGUCUUCUAUAGGUUGACCGCAUUUUUCGUCUUGGGCAGCUUAUGCGUGGGAAUCGUUGUUCCCUACGACGACAAGACGAUGUCAGACGCCUUCAAAAAAGGGUUGCCAGGAGCUGCUGCGUCCCCCUAUGUUGUUGCCAUGGACAGGUUGCAGAUCAAAGUUCUCCCACAUAUCGUCAACGCAAUGGUGCUCGGGGCGGCAUUCAGUGCAGGAAACUCCUACGUCUACUGCGCCAGCCGCAGCUUGUUCGGUCUCGCCCUUGAAGGCAAAGCACCUCGCAUCUUCACCAAAUGCAACAGGAAUGGUGUGCCAAUCUACUGCGUCUCACUUGUCUUGCUUAUCGCGCUCCUAUCCUUCCUGCAGGUCUCUAACGAAGCAUCCGUCGUGUUGGAUUGGUUCGUAUCCCUCGUAACUGCUUCGCAGCUUCUCAAUUUCUUCGCAGUAGCUUUUACGUACACUCGAUUCAUGAAGGCUCUUGACGCGCAGGGUGUUUCGCGCGACUCGCUUCCGUACAAGGGUUUCUUCCAACCCUAUCUUGCAUAUUAUGCUUGCGCAGGGACGUUGAUCAUGGCUUUUGUAGGGGGAUAUACAGUAUUUUUACCUGGGAACUGGAGUAUACCAACGUUCCUAUUCUCCUAUACGAUGAUUGGGUUAUGUCCAGUGCUGUUUUUUGGGUGGAAACUGUCCAAGAAAACUAAAUGGUUUAAGCCCCAUGAAGUGGACUUAUUCAAGGAUGUUGCGGAGAUUGAUGAGUAUACGAAAAACUUCGUUCCGGCUCCACCGAGAAAUCGGAUCGACAAGUAUUUCAACAAGCUAUUCGAGUAGCACAUCGUUGUAUGCCAUUCUAUCCAAGACUCAGUCCCUCAUCGGUCUCUUUUCUCAGUUUCUGUUAUUGACGCAAACGAGGGUCUGUUGCGGCGCGCUGGAGCAACGUAUCAUAUUCUUUGGUUCGAAUGGUUACCCACAGGUAUAAGCAUUUCUAAAUGCAGUCGAUAUCACCAUUAAUUUCCUAUAUAAUGAAUCAAGAACGCUCUCUGGGUCUAUUUGGAUGGAUGAAUUUGCGCCAUUGAAAUAUGCUUAUGUCGAAAAUUGAUGCUUUUUAAUUUUUUUUUUUUUCAUUUUUUCCCACUUCCUUCUCUGGGAUUUUGAGAAUCCCUUGGGUGGUAGAUAUCCAGUGUUCCGUUAGAUAGUUAGAUACUUACGAUGAAUAAACAUUAUAUUACGGCUCUGUUUCGAAUUCCGGAUUGCCCACAAGAUUUCGUAGAUGUUAUUUAUAUAUCACUCAUCAAAUCCGUUGGUACGCUAGUGUGACUAACCGCGGCACAAAUGUGACAAGAGAACCGUUGUCAUCGAAACCACCAGUUGAC